CCGAGGGGCCGGGCAAGGGUGCUGUGACCGCAAGGGCAUGGGGUCCAGGCUGUAAGGUUAUUCACAGCGGCUGGCUUCCGACCAGGUACGUGGGGCAGGAGCGAGAUCCAGGGGGGCUGGCGUCCCGGGUAGCGUGUGGCUGCGCGACCCGGGUGGCGAGACUCAAAUCAGACCACUAAGCAUGUAGAUCUGCGCGAAGAAGGCUUGCGGACGGGGGUUCAAAUCCCCCCAGCUCCACCA
rnacentral:tmRNA from 1 species